UAGGAUAUAGCCAAAUUGGUAUGUGGUAGUCAGAGUCGCAAUCUGGUACUGGUUCGAUUCCAGUUGUCCUAG
rnacentral:tRNA from 3 species